rnacentral:tRNA from 1 species
GGCCCGGUAGCUCAACGGCAGAGCGGUGCGGAAUCUGAACAGAUCAGACAGCGCGCACGGCAGGCGGUUCGACUCCGCCCCGGGACCACCA